AUUGAACGCUGGCGGCAGGCCUAACACAUGCAAGUCGAACGAGCGGCGGACGGGUGAGUAAUGCCUGGGAAACUGCCUGAUGGAGGGGGAUAACUACUGGAAACGUUAGCUAAUACCGCAUACUAUCGGAUGUGCCCAUAUGGGAUUAGCUAGUAGGUGGGGUAAAGGCUCACCUGGGCGACGAUCCCUAGCUGGUCUGAGAGGAGUACCAGCCACACUGGAACUGAGACACGGUCCAGAGUCCUACGGGAGGCAGCAGUGGGGAAUAUUGCGCAAGGGGCGCAAGCCUGAUGCAGCCAUGCCGCGUGGAUAAAGAAGGCCUUCGGGUUGUAAAGUACUUUCAGCGGGGAGGCGUUACCCGCAGAAGAAGCACCGGCUAACUCCGUGCCAGCCGCCGCGGUAAUUC
rnacentral:rRNA from 1 species